CCUACGGGAGGCAGCAGUGAGGAAUAUUGGUCAAUGGACGCAAGCCUGAACCAGCCAUGCCGCGUGCAGGAUGACGGCCCUAUGAGUUGUAAACUGCUUUUGUACGAGGGUAAUAUCAGAUAUGUGUAUCUGCUUGAAUGUAUCGUACGAAUAAGGAUCGGCUAACUCCGUGCCAGCAGCCGCGGUAAUACGGAGGAUCCGAGCGUUAUCCGGAUUUAUUGGGUUUAAAGGGUGCGUAGGCGGUUUUAUAAGUUAGAGGUGAAAUUUCGGGGCUCAACUCCGGACGUGCCUCUCAUACUGGAUGACUAGAGAACAGAAGCGGUAGGCGGAAUGUAUGGUGUAGCGGUGAAAUGCGUAGAGAUCACGCAGAACACCGAUUGCGAAGGCAGCUUACCAAACUAUAUCUGACGUUGAGGCACGAAAGCGUGGGUAGCAAACAGGAUUAGAUACCCUAGUAGUC
rnacentral:rRNA from 1 species